ACCCGGAAGCACUACGGCGGGUGCCCGCCCCGGGCCCCCUUAGACUCCGGUCUUACCCGUGCGGCAGUACUCUCAGCGCGGAGACCCGGCCGCUCGCGGAGCUCCCGCCCCGCAGCCCCGCCUGCCCUGAGGGGGCCCGCUCACGGUGGGGUCCGGAUCCGCGAGGGCGCGCGCCGGUGAGUCGUCGCCAGCCCGCGUCAACGACGUGCCGAUCGCCUGCGUCCGUCCGCGGCUGCGGGCGUGGCCACUCGUCUCCGGGCCUCGCUGAGCCCGCGCUUCGGGCUGAUGCUCACACGGGGCUCCUGAAGUUCUUGCCUUGAGAACAGAGUCCGCAGGGGAAGAGGAGGAGGAGCUGGAUUCGGGGUUUUGGCAAAGCCUGGGGAAAGGCAGCGGUGGCUCCCGGGACGGAGGGGCGGGGAGGGGAGUCUUCGGAGGAAGCCCUCGCGAUCCCCGAGCAGUUCACCAGGAAGGCUCGGGGGUUCCUCGCGGAGCCCACGGCAGUGCUGCCCUUGCAUCCGUACCGGAGCCCGAGCCGCGGAUUCGUCAGCUGCCACUGUGCGCUGAGCCCCAGCUUUCACCGGGACUAGCGCAGGAACCCACGUGCGGGUGGGGGGAGAGCCUGGGCGAGGGGCGGCUGGGGGUGGGCUACGCUGGAGAGGAGAUUCCGGGUAGGAGCCUGGGCGGGGCAGGUCCGGAAACUUGGAGAGGUUCCUGUCGGCGCUCCGCUACGAUGAGCCGCCGCUUUCACCCCCGGUGAAACCUGCCCGCAGUUCAUAGAGGGCCAACCAAGACCCGACCUCGCUUCCUCUCCAGGGGCUACACAGUGUCCCAUCUCCCUCCCCAGGCUCUCCGAUCCAGAUGUCCCUGUCUGCGGGUUGAACAGCACCCGAUUCGGGAAAGGAGGAACACUCGCUUGUCGGCCAGCAGCUUACUUCUCACUGGCCCCGCCUAGGUUGUUCUACCAACCCAUAAGCAGUGGCCUGAAAUGAGGGAAAAGGGGAUGGCUGUAGCCAGUUAGAGCCAGGCCAUGCACCCAGGCUUACCUGAAGGAAAACCUGGCCCAGCUGCUGGAAGGGGAGUGGGUGCUGGGAGCAGCCCGUGGUGGUUCAUCACAUCGUUGUGUUCCUUUUUUGAGGUGGACAAAGGAGAGGCAGCUCCUGCCUAGCAGCUCAUUGUGCAGAGCUCUGUCCCACACACCAAAGGAGUCUUGUGUCCUCCACCCUGGUGUGUAUGCAGAACCCGCUCACUGGUAAACACGGUGCCCUGAGCACCUUGUAUCCAUAGCCAGACACUAAACUAGGUACAGCCAGGGACAGUGAACAAGACCUCCAAAUGGUCUGGUGGUCAUCACUGGAGUGACAAGAGCCAGGAGGAGGGGACUGUAAGGGGGCCAGUACAGUAAUUGGAGCCUGGAAAGAUGUUGGCUUGCAGGAGGAUGAAGAGAAGGGGACAGAUUCAAGAGAUCACCAAGUGAUGUCUUUGGUGAGAGUACCCGGGCUGCUGGGACCGACUACAGACCCGUGGUAGCAGGAAGCAAGAGACCAGAGCUGGCCAAGAGGGGAACAGAGCCAAGCUGGAGGGAGCUCAGUGUACAUGCAAGAGAAGCUGAGAGUAGAAACAGCUCACCAGAGGAAGGAACCUGGACCUGAGCAGGGGAUGGACACCCCAGCAAGGCAGUAGGCAGAGACGGACGGACAUAAGGGAGGUAGAGUUAGAACUGCUGUGAAUGAGCAUGUUGGGAAAUCCUGGGCUCGACUCUGUACUUAAUGAAGUAGAGUAUCUGCAGAAAGGACCCAAAACCCUUGCGUGCAGAUCUCCCCCCGGGUGAUGUGAUGAUCACCUAGCUUGUGAGCAUAAAGGUGGGGCUGGAACCAGCACAGACACCCAGCCUGCUGCUCUUACUGGCCUCAGCAGUGAGGCAGAAAGCAGAGAAAUUGAAACUGGGACUCAGAGUGGCCCGAGAGCUCAGCACCCAGGUCCCUGCUGCAGCCUGGAGAACCAAGGGAAGGCUAGAAGGGUAGAAGACUUAAGUCAGGCAGAGGCAGGGCCAGUGUGGGGUUGGGAGGCUUGGGUUCUGGACAGGCUACCAGCACAGCCCUGAAGGGGGAGCCAAGGUCAAAGUUCAGCGAUCUGGCUCCUGCUCUCCCAGCUGACCCCUCACCCUGGCAGCCCCCCCCCCCACAGGGCACCCAGGGCAUGUGUGCUUAUGCCAGAGAACACAAUUCAAAGCUCUGAACGAACUUGAUUUGUACUAUCUGUAUGAUUUCUAGAUCUGUCGCAGUGAGGGAAAAAAGGGGCUCUUACACCUACUACUAAAAUGUAAAUUAGUAAUUGGUGAUAAAACACACUGGUGACAAAUAAUUCUUAGCCCCUAUUUAAUUACCGUGAUGGGAAAAGAAAACUUCCUAAGACACCCGGCUGCAAAGGGCAGACAGUGAGGGCCCCUCAGUGAUACUGCACCACUCUGGAAAAUAUGCCUUCAGGUUCUUUCCCGUCCCCCAGGGCAGCAGCAAAUCCUUCUUGUCGCCUUGUUUUGGCCAAAGCAGCCAAAGAUUUAAAAGUCUUUGGUUCACAGAUGGCUAGGUCGGCAAGGACUUUCCUGUUGAGCUCCACCUGG